rnacentral:rRNA from 1 species
GACGAACGCUGGCGGCGUGCUUAACACAUGCAAGUCGAACGGUAAGGCCCUUCGGGGUGCACGAGUGGCGGACGGGUGGGUAACUCGUGAGUAACCGGCCCUUCACUCUGGGAUAACAGUUGGAAACGGCUGCUAAUACCUGAUGUUCAGCUCCCGUCGCAUGGGGGGGGGUGGGAAGGUUUGGUGGGUGGGGAUGGGCUCGCCUCCUAUCAGCUUGUUGGUGGGGUGAUGGCCUACCAAGGCGUCGACGGGUAGCCGGCCUGGGGGGGGGACCGGCCACAUUGGGACGGGGAUACGGCCCGAACUCCAACGGGGGGCAGCGGUGGGGAAUAUUGCACAAUGGGCGGAAGCCGGAUGCAGCAACGCCGCGUGCGGGAUGACGGCCUUCGGGUUGUAAACCGCUUUCAGCAGGGACGAAGCGCAAGUGACGGUACCUGCAGAAGAAGCACCGGCUAACUACGUG